rnacentral:rRNA from 1 species
GAUGAACGCUAGCGACAGGCUUAACACAUGCAAGUCGAGGGGCAGCAUAAAAGUAGCAAUACUUUGGUGGCGACCGGCGCACGGGUGAGUAACGCGUAUGCAACCUACCUAUCAGAGGGGAAUAACCCGGCGAAAGUCGGACUAAUACCGCAUAAAACAGGGGCACCGCAUGGUGAUAUUUGUUAAAGAAAUUCGCUGAUAGAUGGGCAUGCGUUCCAUUAGGUAGUUGGUGAGGUAACGGCUCACCAAGCCGACGAUGGAUAGGGGAACUGAGAGGGUGGCCCCCCACACUGGCACUGAGACACGGACCAGACUCCUACGGGAGGCAGCAGUGAGGAAUAUUGGUCAAUGGGCGGGAGCUUGAACCAGCCAAGUCGCGUGAAGGAAGAAGGAUCUAUGGUUCGUAAACUUCUUUUGCGGGGGAAUAAAGUGCAGGACGUGUCCUGUUUUGUAUGUACCCUGAGAAUAAGGAUCGGCUAACUCCGUGCCAGCAGCCGCAGUAA